CGGAAGUAGAAGGCGACUUGGAGGCAGCCCCUUGGGCUCCGUCAGGCCCGUCGGGUCCCUUGCCUAACCCAUCUGUUUUCCCUUUCCUUACAAAGCUGUUUCCUCAGCGGGCUCAGCGAGGAAACCCCUGAGUAAACAGAGUGUGUGCUGUUGGCCCCAAGGUUUCUCUGAGCUGUACCCCAGGGACACACGGCUGGGCAAAGCCCACUUCCAACCCUCUUGCCAGGCCUCUGGUCCGGCACAACUGUUGUUUCCAUGAAGCGGUUUCUUUCAGCCACAUUCCCUUCAGCCUCUGAAGGAAGAGCUUGCACCUCCAGGCAGCAAGGCAGAGGAAAUCUCUGAGGCAGAUGUCGGCUGAGGGCACUGAGCCUCUCUCCCUGCUUCCCCAGCCAGAGGGCCCUCCCCCCUCAACACAACAAUGGCUCCAGUCAUGCUGGGGAACUCCACAGGCUUCCAGGGCAGCUGUGGUUCAGAAAUACCAGGAACUGCCAAGCACACUGAGACACGGUCUAAGAAGGUGCAACUACCACUCUUGGAACCCAUAUUUAAGAGGCCGGGAAGAGGAAGCCCUCCCUCUGGGCAGACAGCCUGGAGUCCUGGGGAGGAGCACACCCUCCCACCAGCCUGCAUACAGUCACCUUCCCUCAAACAAAGCCAGUGCUGUCCCUGACGGCCUCAGGCACUGGCAGCCUCCGCUGAGCCCACAAUCCACCUCACCUUCAAAAUGCUUGCCACCCUCCUCAUUCUGUCCUCAUCAGUGCCCUGGGGAAGGAGCAUCACCCUGUCGAGUUCUGGUGUUUGCCUCCCUUCAAGCACAGGCCUGGGCACCCACUGGUCAUUGUGGGUGUGCUUCUGGUUUUCAAGGAGUGGCCACUCUCUGUACUUGGAUAAUUAUUUUUAAAUAAAUGAGGUGCUGUGAG
rnacentral:lncRNA from 1 species